AAAGUUCAAGGGGGCCGAAUACUUUCGCAAGGCACUGUAGUUCUUCUUUGGGGCGGCGAUAUUCUCCAGGCUGAUCCCAGGGUCCUACUCCGAACAAUUCGUCCUCCCAUGUCCAUUCCUCUUUUUGUUGCUCCUGCUGUUGCAGUUGCCUGUUACCACGCCGCUUGGUCAUGUUGUGGUGGGUGAUUCUGUAACGGUACUCGUCUGUAGAAGGAGAAGCGGACCAAAAUGCAGCGUGGUGGUUAUUCAUGUUCUUUAAUUAAAUGAACGAGACAUGAAAAUAACUAAACAAUACAAAACAACAAACGGACCGUGAAAACCUAUACAGCCUAUCUGGUGACAACAAACAAAGAGACAGGAACAAUCACCCACAAACACACAGUGAAACCCAGGCUACCUAAAUAUGGUUCCCAAUCAGAGACAAUGACUAACACCUGCCUCUGAUUGAGAACCAUAUCAGGCCAGACAUAGAAAUAGACAAACAAGACAUCCAACAUAGAAUGCCCACUCAGAUCACACCCUGACCAACCAAAACAUAGAAACAUACAAAGUAAACUAUGGUCAGGGUGUGACAUUUCAACUCAACUGGUGUAGACUUUAAAGUGAAAUGCUUGCUUACAAAACUUUCCCGAUGAUGCAGUGUUUAAAAAAGCAUUAUAAUAAAUAAAUUAGUAACAAACACAAGAGAAAUACAAAACAAUAUACAACAAUGGGGCUAUUUACAGGAAAUACCAGUACCAGAUCAAUGUGCAGAAGUACAGGUAGUUGAUGUAGAUAUGUACAUGAAGGCAAGGUAAAGUGACUAGGCAUCAGGAGAGAUAAUAAUAAUAAUAAGAGUAAAAUAAGGAACAGAGUUGCUGCAGAAAAUUAUGUGUAGAAGUGUGUGUGUGUGUUUCUGUGUUGGUAUACAUCUUUGUUAUGUGUGUGUGUGUGUGCAUAUGUAGUGUUUGAAUGUGUGAGGGAUGUGUGUGGGAGUAACAGUGUAGUGUGGGUGUGUGAGUGAGUGUGUACUGUAUAUAAAGUCUAGUGAGUGUGCGUAGGGUCAGAUCAAAAUAGUAAGGGCAGAUAGUUUGUGUACCAUUAAUGGACUAUUCAGCAGUCUGGCUAUUUAAUAGUCUUAUUUCUUGGGGUAGAAGCUGUCUAUGAGCCUGUUGGUCUGAGAGCCGAUGCUCCAGUACCGUUUGUUGGGCGGUAGCAGAGUGAACAGUCUAUGGCUUGGGUGGCUGAACUCUUUGGCAAUUUUUCGGGGCUGCCUCUCACACCGCCUAAUAUAGAGUCCGCACCACCUUUUUUAUCUCUUUACUUUCAAGGGCAGUUGCCAUACCAAGUGGUGAUGCAGCCAGUCAAGAUGCUCUCAAUGUAAAACUUUUUGAGGAUCUGAGGGCCCAUUCUCUUCACGACUGUGUGGGUGUGUGUCGACCAUGUUAAGUCAUUACUGAUGUGGACGUCAAGGAACUUGACUAUCAUACACUUUCCAUCUCCAAGAGGAGAAAAACUCCUCAAUUGGAUUCAGGAAAGGCGAGUAUGGAGGGAGGUACAAGUUCAUAAACUGCCCAUCGAUGUUAAACCAUUCCCUUACCUGAGCAGCUUGGUGGAACCUGACAUUGUCCCACACUAUCACAUAGGUGGGAAUGGGAUUCUCAUUUAACUCUUGACCCUGCUGCUCUUGAACCUGCUGCUCAAAUAAAAUAGCUCUUAGAUUGGCAAUAAAUCUUAGAAGGUGCUGGGUGUUAUAUGGCCCGAGUGUAACAUGGUGAUGUAGAACACCAUGGUUGCUAAUAGCAGCACAGAUUGUGACAUUGCCACCUCGUUGACCAGGGACUUCAACAAUGGCCCGCUGUCCAAUCAUGUUUCGGCCUCUCCUUCUCCUCUUUAUUCGAUUGAAGCCUGCUUCAUCGACAAAGAUGAACUCACGGGAUCUGUCCAAGGAUUGCAAGUCAAAUAUUGUCUGUGUAGAAAUACAAAAUACUGCAUGUAGGAUUUUGUAAGUCAUACAGAGACAGUACUAUACUGUAGAGUACAAUUAGGCUUCUGAUUCACAUACAUUGUAUGUACUGAAGAGUAAUGUCAUUCACGUAGUAUGUGUUAGUACUGUAGACAAUCUGGAUUACAGUAGAUGUUUCUGAAUACACUUACUUGCACAUACUGAGCUCGCAGUUCUUUCUCCCUGGGUGAGUUGCGCUCAAAAGGUACUCUGUAUGUACUCUGUUUACUUGUUUCAUUCGCAUCCUGUUACGAUGGAGGACACGGUCAAUUGUGGAAAUGCUCACACUGUCGAUUCCCUGGAAGUGUGUGUUGUCUUGUAUCACUUGUUCCUAGAUUUCUCUGGGUCGUAUUGCAUUAUCUUGAAGGACCAUGCCAACUAUAACGGCCUCUUGCUCCCGAGUGAAUAUAGCUGUCCUUCCACCUACAUGUGGCAGCCUUGCAAUUCUACAAAAAGUAGUUGUGCAGUUACAAAACAUAUUCAUGCAGUACAAUACAUACAGUGAUUAACUUUACAAAUGUCUAUUGAAACAGCUGCAUAUAGUGUAGUACAGUAAAUGUGCAAUUACAAAAAUACAGUAGUAUACUGUACCUGUUCUCUUCUCUGAAUGUCCUUACUAUGGUGGACACAGAAAAUCGGCUCAAAUUGGGUUGCACUCUAAGUCCUGCUUCCCUCAUUGUCAGUCCAUGAACAAGAACAUGGUCUAUAACUGUUACUCAAAUUUUAUUAGAUAUUUCCACUCUUUGGCUUCCUCUUCGUCCUCCUCUUCCUCUUUCUUGCCCUCCUCCUCCUCUUCCUCCUCGUCGCCCACCUCGCAUACGCACUCGUCCUCUCACAUUGUUUCUUCUAUCCAUUCUCAGACUUUCUCCUUUCCACCUUCAACAACCUGUUUGCUCUCUGAACUGGCUUAUAUUGGUUGUGUCGCAUCAUUUGAAACAGGUUAAAUCAAUUUUGAGUGGUUGUGUUUACCAGUAUGGAUGACAUGUGCAUUAGAGUGCAGAAUAUGUUUUGAGAAUGAGAAUGUGUUUAGAGUUUUGCUGAAAAGUCUAAGUGAGAUCUGCAAAUUGUGUUUUACCAUGUGAAAUGAGUCCAGGCAACUGAGAACUUUGUUCAGCCAAUGGGUUUUAGUGUUUUAGCAAUUGAGAAAAACUGUAAAUCCAGUUUAAAUGUAAAUGUUAGCUGUACAUGUACACUACCGUUACUUAGAAAUGUCCUUGUUUUUGAAAGAAAAGCUAUUUUUUUUGUCUAUUUACAAUAACAUGAAAUUGAUCAGAAAUACAGUGUAGAUAUUGUUAAUGUUGUAUAUGACUAUUGUAGUUGGAAACGGCAGAUUUUUAAUGGAAUAUCUACAUAGGCGUACAGUGGCCCAUUAUCAGCAACCAUCACUCCUGUGUUCCAAUGGCAUGUUGUGUUAGAUAAUCCAAGUUUAUAAUUUCAAAAGGCUAAUUGGUCAUUAGAAAACCCUUUUGCAAAAAUGUUAGCACAGCUGAAAACUGUUGUUCUGAUUAAAGAAGCAAUACAACUGGCCUUCUUUAGACUAGUUGAGUAUCUGGAGCAUCAGCAUUUGUAGGUUCGAUUACAGGCUCAAAAUGGCCAGAAACAAAUACCUUUUUUUCUGAAACUCGUCAGUCUAUUCUUGUACUGAGAAAUGAAGGCUACUCUAUGUGAGGAAUUGCCAAGAAACGGAAGAUCACAGAACAGCACAAACUGGCUCUAAUCAGAAUAGAAAGAGGAGUGGGAGGCCCCGGUGCACAACUGAGCAAGAGGACAAGUACAUUAGAGUGUCUAGUUUGAGAAACAGAUGCCUCACAAGUCUUCAACUGGCAGCUUCAUUAAAUAGUACCCGCAAAACACCAGUCUCAACGUCAACAGUGAAGAGGCGACCCCCGAGAUGCUGGCCUUCUAGGCAGAGUUGCAAAGAAAAAGCCUUAUCUCUGUCCAAUGUCUGUGUUCUUUUACCCAUAUUAAUUUUUUAUUUUCAUUUUCAUUGACCAGUCUGAGAUAUUGCCUUUUCCAGCUACAAUAGUCAUUUACAACAUUAACAAUAUCUACACUGUAUUUCUGAUCAAUUUCAUGUUAUUGCUACGUAAAAAAUGUUUUUCUUUAAUUAACAAGGACAUGUCUAAGUGACCCCAAAUGUUAGAAUUGUAGUGCAGGUUUGAAUCAUCAAUAUGUUCAUUUCUAAAGGACAGUUGUUGAAUUGUGCUGGCAGCCAAAUCAUGCCGUUGUCUUUCUCACACACACGCACACGCACACGCGCACACACACACACACGCACACGCACGCACACACACACACAGACCUCCUUCUCUCUCUCUCCCCCUCAGAGUGGCCCAGCCAUGGCCUGGGUCUUUAGUGAGAGCAGAGGGAGGAGACACACUGCACUUCCUCUCAACUGCACUUCCUCUCACCACUGCACUUUGUCUCAACUCUGAGCUGAAUGGUCUCUGUCUGUGAGGCCUCCAAUCCCUUAGGACGAGCAACUGGCUCCUUCUAUGUACACACAUCCUCUGGUGAGAAUCACCUGAGACACACACACACACACACACACACUAUUCAUACUGGUUGACAGUGGUGGAAAAAGUACAUCAUGCCUUAAUAAAAAAUGACUCACAUAAAAGCGGAAUUCACCCAGCAAAUUUCUACAUAAGUAAAAGUCUAAGUAUUUGGGUUUAAAUACACUUAAGUAUCAAAAGUAAAUGUAAUAGCAAAAUAAUGCUUAAGUAUCAAUAUAUUAAGCAAACCAGAUGGCACAAUUGUCUUUUUUAUUUGAUUUACGUACAGCCAGGGGCACUCCAACACUCAGACAUCAUUUACCAACAAAACAUUUGUGUUUUGUGAGUCCGCCAGAUCAGAGGCAGUAGGGUAGAACAGGGAUGGUCUCUUGAUAAGUGCGUGAAUUGGACCAUUUUCCUGUCCUGCUAACCAUUCAAAAUGUAACAAACCCUUUUGGGAGUCAGGGAAAUGUAUGGAGGAAAAAGUACAUUAUUUUUUUAGGAAUGCAGUGAAGUAAAACUAAAAGUUGUCGAAAAUAUAAAUAGUAGUAAGUAGUAUUUUAUAGUAUUUUUACAUAUGUAGUUUACACCACUGCUGGUUGCUUAACUGGUUUCUUAUACUGUUUUAUAAGUUGCUUAUAAUUGUUAUGCGAUCGUUUGAUUGGUUUGUUGAUUUGGUUGCUUGAUUUAUUGAAUACUUUCUUGUCCCAUAGGGAAAUGUGUCUGGCAACGAUAUAGGUAUUCCUGGCACACACAUAUGAGGUUGAGAAAUGUGAUGUAGCAUGGAUAACAAAGUUGAGCCAGAUGCUCACUUAUCUUUCACUGCAUGUGUUAAUUUCAAACUUAUGGCCUCAUUCCUCUUUCUACAGGAAGGUACUGUAUAACCAUUACUAAGAUGGUCAUGAUACACUUAUCUCUUGCUGCAUAUGUACAUGUCUUAUAACCUAGUAUUAUCUCUUAACUUUCUGCAGCGAAGGGUUUACAACAAAGCUAUACUGAUUCUUAGGGCAACAAAAUUACACGUAAAUGCAGCUACUAGGAAAACAAAAUGACAUGUAAUUGUAAAUGCAGACUUAUAUUAAUUGUAUCUCCUCUCUCCUCACAGAGACCUCUGCUGCCUGUUGGGUUCUACUCGUUGUUAUUCUCUGUCUGAUUGUUGCUGGGGCUGCACUCAUAUGGUACCUGUGCAAAUACGGACAGUUUCCUUGGAGUUCAAUCAUGGCCAAUCACCAGUUCCAGGCACCACCACAGGUUGAGGAAGAUGAACCUGGGACGUCUGGGUUCUGACACUCCAAACCAGGAAGACGGAGAAGGAACAAGUAGUUUGAUGAAAAUGACCCAAUACACCUCCAGGCUGUGUAAGGGCUAUUUGAGCAAGCAGGAGAGUGAUGGAGUGCUGCAUCAGAUGACCUCGCCUCCACGAUUCCCCAACCUCAACCCAAUUGAGAUGGUUUGGGAUGAGUUGGACAACAGAGUGAAGGAAAAGCAGCAAAGUGCUCAACAUAUGUGGAACUCCUUCAAGACCGUUGGAAAAGUAUUCCAGGUAAAGCUGUUUGAGAGAAUGCCAAGAGUGUGCAAUGUAAUGUUACUGAAAUUACAAUUUACAUUGAACUUUUACAUGUAAUUGGCCUUUAAUGUGAAAUGGGUUGGUAAAGGCGUCCGUAGGUCUCCGUUGGGAUGGUGUGGUAUUUGAUUAGACUGGGGUCAACUGAAACCAAGGCUAUCUUUAUGUCCAACAAUGCAACGAGGAGGUGAUUUAUGAAAAUUGCCUAGCAACUGAUGCUGCACAACACCAUCAACAUGGACCCACAAGACUGAGAUAAAAAAGGAGAUAGAGUAAACAGAAAGACGAGAGUGUUGGGUGAGAAAGUGAGGGGAGGUGCUGGGUGAGAGAAUGUACAGCCUUUCCAUUUCAGGCAUUGACCAACUGAUAACAACAGUGCUGAGGUGAUGGAAAUAUAUGGACGUCAUUUGUACCAGAGCAUGAGAGACAGAUACACCUCUGUACUAUAUAGUCAGAAGGUGGUGCUUGGGGGUUGUUGCUUUGCUUGUUUACAGCAUAGCAACAAACCCAUGGUCUAAAAUCUAGGUAUUAUGCUUUUAUCUAGGAAUUAAAUGCAAUAUAUCUCAGAUAUAUCUCUUUCUAAAUGGCACAUUGGCACCUUUGCUUUAUUUUUCUAUUCAGAGGACUAUUCAAAGAAUGUAUCCAAGGCCGAAAUAAAAUAACAUCUAAAUCAAAUGUAACGUUAUUCAUCACAUGCUUCGUAAACAACAGGUGUGGAUUAACAGUGAAAUGUUAGUGACAGGUCCUUCCCAACAAUGCAGAGAGAAAGAAAAUAGAGAAAUAAUAGAAAAGUAAAAACAAGUAAAAUUACAAGUAAUAAUAGAUAGACAAUAAGUAACGAUAAAAGGGUACCAGUACAGUCUCGAUGUGUAGGGGUAUGAGAUAUGAGGUAAAUACUGUAUGUACAUAUAAUUAGGAAUAAAGUGAUAGAUAGUAAACAGUAGUAGCAGCGUAUGUGAUGAGUAAAAAAACAUUUGUGCAAAAAGUGUCAAUCAAGAUAGUCCGGGUAGCUAUUUGGUUAACUAUUUAACUAACUAUUUAGCAGUAUUGUGGCAGGGCUUGCAAACUAUUAUGGACUACAAAGGGAAAUCCAGUCCGUAAUAGUUUAUAAGCCCUGCCACAUCCGAUGGAAUCUUCUGGACACUGGGAUUCUUCAGGCCUAUCUACCAAAAUGGUCUGAGAACAAGGUGAUCCAGGAAACUUCGGAAUCCCGGGGAAUCCCGGGACUCUUGCUAGUCCACCAGGCGGCAAUGUUACUUGUGUGGAGUGUGCUGAUGAUGUCGCCCCACUGUAUGCGCUUCGGUAGCCUGAUUACACCCAGACUGAUGACAUGUUCAAAACUGCAGUCAUAACAUGGUGGUACCAAACCGAAGUGCAGUAAAUUAGCUGUCACACCUACUCCUUUUCCCUCCUUCUGGCGCUCAACGUCGCCAGUCUACUGACCACUGGCCCUGGCAACUAGAUUACGCACACCUGUUCCCCAUCAUUACGCACACCUGUUCCCCAUCAUUACGCACACCUGGUCAUCCUUUUUUCUUUGAUUACUCCCUCUUUAUUUCUCCCUCAGUUGUCAUGAGGGAGCAUUGUUUUCUCUGACGUUCAGUACACGUCUCAUGUUUUUUAAUUUGUAUUGUUUCAUUAUUAAACUCACCUUCUGCACUUGCUUCCUGACUCCCAGCAUGUAUGUUACAGAAUACUAUCUCGCAAUAUGGAAGCAGCAGGAGAUAAAACCAUCUCCCAGACCAUCAACGAACAGGGUCAUGUACAUGUACUUCACCAACACCACGACCAGCUAGCGCAACUGGGUACUGCAUGGAGGAGGUCCUCCGUUUUCUCUACUGCCUCGACACCACCAGCGAGGCUCUCCAUACCCCUAUCAGAGGGCCUCCUACCUCGGGUCUUCACAGUGAGCCAGUCCCCCAGCCUACUCAGUUGUCAUGAGGGAGCAUUGUUUUCUCUCACGUUCAGUAUGCUUCUCAUGUUUGUUCAUUUGUAUCGUUUCAUUAUUAAACUCACCUUUCGCAUA